rnacentral:rRNA from 1 species
AUGCCAGUAUUCAAGAGCAAAUCUCACGAGGAGCUUCGACAUGAAGAUUAUAAGGAAGGAGACAAAGGUGGUUUCAACUUACAGGAGAGCAGAGUUCCUUGGGCUUAUCAUUCCUCGCAGCCCCAGCCCCUAGUGAAUGCCUUCACAAAUCCUGUCAAGCCAUCAUUGUUUUCAUACUCUCCUGAGCCAUCCUCAGCACCCUGUGGGACUGCAAUCCUCAGCACUACCACCAACCCAUUUUGGUUACGCCCUCCAGGACCCCAGUCACCAUUAUUCUCAUACCCUCCUGAGCCAAUCCACAAGCCAUCAUGGUUUUCAAGCUCCUCUUUUGCACCAUCUACUAUAUGUUGGGCAAAUGUAUCCAAUAACACAGCGGCAUAUACAGCUCCUGCAGAUACAUCUUCUGAUAUAAAUAUUGGUCAAGCUGAGAAAACUGUGGAGUUGGUACUACCAGUUGACAUUACUACUGUAAGGAUUAGAUUUUCCCCAAGGAAUGAUGAUACUGGCAGUCGUGCUAUAGAGGUAUGGCAAUAA